rnacentral:lncRNA from 1 species
AGUGCUGGGAUUACAGGCGUGAGCCACCGUGCCCGGCUGCCACCUAUUUUUAUACUACAUACGGCCGUGCUCCUAUCUGUCGUGGUGCUGUUACUUCAGGCCAUCUGGAUGUAUACGUGCAAGUCACAGGGGAUGUGAUGGCUUGGCUUGGGAUCAGAGACCUGACAGUUAUCAUCCUUGUGGCAUCUUCAAAUUCAGAGAAUCCUUCUGGAUUUUUGGACUUUUUUCUCCCUCAACGUGGAUUAAAUGUUGGACUUUUCUCACUCAACUUGGAUUGAAUGUUGUCAUAGAGAUCUAACAGCAAGUGAACUAAUGCUGAUUCAAAGACACCAAGAGAGGGGGCGAAAUGGAAGGUGUGAAAUCACAGAAACCAAGGGAAUGAAAAACUGCAAAUAAAUAAGCCAUCACUUGAUAUCCUGCUACAUCUCCAGGAAUAAAAAGCUGGAAAUAAAUAAGCCAGCCAAGAAGAUUGAUACAUGACUGGAGCCUGAAUGGUAGAACUUUUUCAGAAGUGAGGAGUCUGUUGGCCCAGAAGAUCUGCGGUAAGAUCUGCCUCAACAUACCUUACUCAUUUUUUUCAAAGAGACUCUAGAGUCUAAAAUGAACAACCAAUCAAUUCUACAAACAUUGCAUCAUGAGGAGUUGCUGCACCUCUUCUCCAGGAUUUGCAAAACGUGUAGUCCAAAUCGAGUUCGGCUAGAACUGGUCUGUCAUCAAGAUAUGGCUCAUGAAAGAGAUUGGUGUUUAGGAGGCUGGGAAAAGGAAAUAUUUUGAGAGACUUCAUGUGCUCCGCACAUGGAGGUGGCUUCCUUUUGCCUCAGGUGAAGGGAGCUUCAACAAGAUCACUCAGAGUUUGAUCAAUGAUCUUAGAAUUUGCAGAACAUAGGGACUGCCAUUUGACUCACCCUUUAGAAGUCAGGAGGAAAGGUUACGUGGCUGGCACUUCUCAUGUCUGGGAAGGAACAACUGUGAAGUGCUGACCUAGACGAAUGUUGCACUUCCGCUGAUGAGUAGGCAAUGGCGAAUGUUUUCCAGGGUCCAAAUGUGGACCCGGCAACAGAGAGGCUGUCUGUAAUCACUUUAUAAGAGACACUAACAACAAUGACCACUGGGACUAAAGAGAGCACAACGGAAGUAGUUCUGCCAGAAGGGCUGAGGAGAGGGCUGAGCAACCACCCUCAGGGGAGGCAGACCCACAUCAAAGACAUCUCAGCAGUCCCUUUCCCAUGAAAGAAAGAGCUAGAAAUUGUCCAUUUGACACACACACAAACCAGAUCCCAGAUUGCAAUUGAUUCAGAUAAUGAAAAGCUUGUUCUUUUCACUUGCUGUUCUAGCCUAACCAUGUAGGUGUCAGAAGCAGUUGUAGGCUAGGAGAGAAGUCGGAGCAAUACAGAAGCCAGUUCUGCCUUUGCCUCAAGAUCCACUGUCCACUCAGAGGCAGGCUGGCACAUGGGGGAUGAGAACAUUCCAAGAAAGAUGUGAAUCUGGAAUUUUCAUUUAUGCAGUAGAUGGGGAUUUACUACUGAAAGGAACAUGUUUUGGCAACUAAUAGUGACCAAAAGAAUUUGUACUUACUAAAAAUUAUCUUAAAAGCAUGGGAUUACCCUAGCAUUUUGUUUCAGAAACUGAAAUUAACAGAAAACUAUAAAAUUACUUUCUGCCUGAAACCUAAGAAGGUGAACUCAUGCCAGAAACCAGUUACAUUCACAAUUACCUGGAUUUUGUUAUUUCCUACAAUGAAUAAAACUUAUUAUAAAGCAGAAAA